rnacentral:lncRNA from 1 species
CUCACAUGAUAACUCACAACCACCCGCAAUACCAGUUCCAUAGGAUCCAACUGGCAUGCAUGUGGUAUACAUACACAUGUGCAAAGAAAACAUUCAUACACAUAAGUUUCCCAUGGGAGGAUCAGGCAGAUAGCGUCUGCUGUUCCCAGCUUUGAUCUCUCUUGAACGUCACCCCACUCGUUCCUGGCAUGCCACAGCUCAGACAUCCUUGGAGGCCAGCAUCUUGGGCUACAAAUCAGGAAGCUGAAGGCUGAACCUGGUUUGGCUAUUUUCAACUAAUGAGCAUGUUGGGAGCACCUUCCUUAGGCUACCAUGAGCAUCCUCCUUGGGCUGCACUGCAUCCGUGGCGAAGAAGCUGAAGGUUCUGGAUAGCAUCUCGGCUAAAUCGGCAGAUUAGCGGGGCGUGGUGGGAGUUUGCGUCUAUAAUCCCAGCAGUAGAGAGGCUAUAGUAGCAGGGUUGCCAAGAGUUUGAGGCCAACCUGGACUACAGUGUGAGUUCUAGGUUAGGCUAGGCUACAGUGAGAUACUGUCUCAAGAAAAAUAAAAUAAAAUAAAAAUAAGGCUGAUUAAUUCUAUCAGCUUGUAGCCAGGCUUGCAUUUCUCCUAUCUCAAAAUCAACAGUCCCGAGAAGGAAAGAAGGAAAUACUGCUGUUCCUGACACACUGGGUAAACUUGAAGGACAUUGUACUAAGUGACAUAGGCCAGAUGCAGAAAGAUAAAUGCUGUAAGUCCGUCCACUCAACAGGAGGGAUCCAAGGCAGCUGCAUUUGUAGAGCCACCAGGGGGAAUGGUGGUUGCCAGGAAUCGGAGCUGUGGGGAAGACAGAAACUGGGGAUCACAGGGCACAAAUUUCAGCUGUGUGUGUGUGUGUGUGUGUGUGCGCGCGCACGCGCGUGCGCGCGCGCAUGUGUGCGUGAAUGCAGGUGCCAAGGGAGCCAGAAGAAUCCCCUAGAGCGGGAGUUAUAGGCAGUUGUGAACAACUCAAUGUGGGUUCUGGAAACUGAACUUGGAUCCUUUACAAGGGUGAUAUACACUCUUAACCACUGAACCAACUCUCUAG